GAUGAACGCUGGCGGCGUGCUUAACACAUGCAAGUCGAACGAAGCACUCUACUUGAUCUCUUCGGAGUGAUUGUUUUGUGACUGAGUGGCGGACGGGUGAGUAACGCGUGGGUAACCUGCCUCAUACAGGGGGAUAACAGUUGGAAACGACUGCUAAUACCGCAUAAGCGCACAGGGUCGCAUGACCUGGUGUGAAAAACUCCGGUGGUAUGAGAUGGACCCGCGUCUGAUUAGCCAGUUGGUGGGGUAACGGCCUACCAAAGCGACGAUCAGUAGCCGACCUGAGAGGGUGACCGGCCACAUUGGGACUGAGACACGGCCCAAACUCCUACGGGAGGCAGCAGUGGGGAAUAUUGCACAAUGGGGGAAACCCUGAUGCAGCGACGCCGCGUGAGCGAAGAAGUAUUUCGGUAUGUAAAGCUCUAUCAGCAGGGAAGAAGAAAUGACGG
rnacentral:rRNA from 1 species